rfam:Triticum aestivum genome assembly, contig: Triticum_aestivum_CS42_TGACv1_scaffold_641242_T_5BS-0.286974_6BS-0.199416
CUAGUACUCCCUCCGUCUGGAAAUACUUGUCGGAGAAAUGGAUAUACAUCCAUUUCUCCGACAAGUAUUUUCGGACGGAGGGAGUAUAUA